GCUUUCAGAGAACAGGGAGCCACUCUGCGUUCUCUCGGUAGGUAAUGAAGCGAGUGAACACAGCUGGUGGUAUCUCAGUUUUCUGGGGGCG
rnacentral:pre_miRNA from 1 species